GGGGCUUCGAAAGAGGGCGGGCUGCAAGGGGUGGGGAGGUGGCGCACCUGGACGCGGAGUGCUUAGUAACGAACGAGUGGUAGGGGUCUCCGCGGAGGACGGGAGGGACUCCAAAAAGAGGUGAGGCUGCCGUGGGCGUUCUCAAUACUGACCGUCAGCGAAUUAAGAACUGGGCGGCGAGCGGCGGAGCCGUGAGCGGACGGACCUUGCGAGGUGCGGUAGCGGGAACGCCGGUUUCAGAGAACCCCCGACCACACGCCCGCCCCUCAGCCCGAGCCUUCUGCGCGCGGGAUCUGGGCCGUGGGGGCGGCCGCCGCGAGCAUGCGCAUGGGCAUUGCGGCGGGCGAGUCCGGAGUCCGGGCGCGGGGACACGGGACGCGGGGCGGCGAGUAGCGGGGUCCUCUGCCGCCCCGCGCGCCCAUGUACGCCUUCUACUCGCUUCUCAUCUACAUUUUCUACAGCCUUUUCCGCAGGGAUGGAGGUGCUACGGCGACCGCCGACCCUGGGGACCCCGCCCAGGUGAGCAGUGUGGGCCUGCCGCGCCGGUCGCCCCCCACCAGGAGAUGGGGUGGUGGUAGGCCUGCCCAGCUUACAUCCUCAGGACGCUGGCCCUGAGGGACGCGGCGGUGCAGAGGACCCUGCUCUUGGUCCGGGCAUUGGGAGCUUAGAUCUCGGCCCCAACCAUUCUGGCCCAGUUCCGGGAGGGAAGGAGCCCCACAGGCUGCCUGCCUCCUCCUCAGGGACGCCCCCUGCUCCCUUCCUAGAGAGUCCACUGCAAGCCCCGGGGUCGUCGUCGCCCCGAUCAGCUUACGCCAGAACUGUGGACCGAGCUGACAGGCCUGGCCGGUAAGUGCAGGCCAGAGUGCCUUGGGGUCCUGGAGGGAUCCUCGCUGUCUGAGGGAGGGAGGGAUUCCGUGACCUCAUUGGGAGGGAAAAGAGGCCCAGUCUGCAACGAUGACUUGAAAUGCCCCCUCCUUCUACUACUUGGCCUAGCGGGCAGCUCCGAGUCUGAGGAUGGGCCUGAAGCCGGAGCCGAGGACCGCCCAGCAGAGGUGUCACUGGAAGAGGCGCUUAUGCGCCUUGCUGAGUUCCUCUCGGUCCAGUUGGGGGCAGAAGAGAGCUGCGGGAAUCCUCCUGAGUUGGGCAAGGUGAGCAGGGCAGAGGAGCUCUCCAGCAAUCACUUCUCUUUCUUUAGCCCUUGUGACUCCCACAGUCCUGCCCCAUUCCAUCUCUGCUCUUAAUCUGCUUUCCUUAGUCCAGGGGACUGAAUUUAGGACUCUCCACAGAUUAGCUACAUCCCUGCUUUUUGUUUGUUUGUUUGUUUUGAGACAGGGUCUUGCUAAGCUGCCGAGGUGAGUUUCAAACUUGCCAUUCUGCCUCAGCCUUCCCAGUAUCUUGGAUUACAGAUGUGGGCCACCAUUCCAGGUUUCUUGCUCUGAUUCUUAUCUCCUCACAGCCUGGGGAGGUCCCUCCACUGUUGACAGUGACCAGUCAGCUCUUGGCUCUUCUGGCAUGGAUUCGGAGCCCCAGGGGGAGGCAGGUCCUGCUCCAGGGGACUCAUCCAGCCUCCAACGUGCAGCCCCCAACUCCAGAUGGUUUGUAAAGGGUAUCUUCUGUAGAGGAAGGGAAUCCCUUUAGAAUCUAGGUGGCGUACAAUCUGGGAUCCCUAGCCUAGCUUUGCUCCCCAGAAUUCAGGCCACCUCAGUACUAACUGAGCUCGCUCCUCUUUAGGAGCCCUUUCUCAAGAAGACAGCCCUUACCAGCCUACCCCUAUCCAAGAGGAGGUGCCAAGGGGUGAGGCCCAGGGGCAACAGUUGCCUCAAUUGGAGGAGGAGCAGAGAGCUUGGCAGAGGCUGGAACAGCUCAUCCUUGGACAGGUGAGGGGCCCAGAAGCAGCAGGGACUGGAGGGAGUGAGACACAAAAAAGGAGUUUCAUCCCACUCUUUUGCAGCUGGAAGAACUGAGGCAGCAGCUGGAGCAACAGGAGGAGGAGCUGGGCAGACUGCGCCUGGGAGUGGUGAGGCUGUUGGAGCAGGGGCUGGGAGAGGGCAAGAGGUUGCAGGAUUUUCAUAUGGUUCCUAAGUGCAGCUAUCUCUGCCAGGGGGCAACAGACUCAGAGAAAAGGGUUCAGCAUCUCACACUGGAGAAUGAGGCCCUGAAACAGAGCCUGAGCCUCACUCGGGACCUCCUGCUGCAUUGGGGCCCAGGCCCCCCCACCAGAGCCCCACAGGUAUCCUGCCUCUUUGUUGCUCCUCUUUGUAUACACCUGGCAUUAGCAACAGUGCCCAAGCCUCCUUAGGUCUUUGAGCUUGCUGAAGCAGUGGGAUUUAUCAGGGGGUCGUCUCUAAUAGGCAGGUCCUGGGGUGGUCUAUGCAGAGCAAGCCCAUCAGGGAGGCUGAUGCAUCUGGGAGAACCCCCACUUCAUAAUUCUCUCAGUGACCAAUUCUAGGAAAGUAGAGGGACUAGGGAAAGGAGUUCUGCCUGGAGUUGGGAGGCAUGGGUUUGUCUGUGCCUGCCACUCUUGACUUGUUUUUCUAUCUGUGAAAUGGAUCAUGGAAUGCCCCUCCCUGAGUUCACACCUGACUUGAUGGCCUACCUGGCUCCCAAUUCCUGCAGGAGGAGGCAGAGGCACUGUUGGAGCUCCAGGGCCGGCUUCAGGAGGCCCAGGACACCACAGAAGCCUUACGAGUCCAGGUGGGCUCGGGGCCCAGGGACAAGGAGGGCUGGGACACUGGGAAGGGGGCAUCUGGGAUAGGGCCUGGUAAGUGCCUGUUUCCUUAGUGACAGGGGUGGGGUUCGGUGGGGCAGCUGGGGGUGCAGGAGGUGCAGCUGCAGGGCCUUCGAGGGGCCCUUCAGCAGCUUCAGCAGGAGACGGAGCAGAACUGCAGACGGGAACUACAACAGGUGCAUGGGCAACUGGCAGGUAAGGUUUGGGAGCAUGUGGCUCAUGGAAGGCCCUGGGUUCUGGGCUUUCCCUCUCAACUAUUUUCCCACUUCAGGACUUCGGACCCGGAUGGCCAGCCUGCGCCAGGGCUGUGGUGACCUCAGAGGACUGGUCAGCACCUUUACCCAGAGCUGUCAGGGUUCGCUGAGUGAGGCCCAGGGCCAGGUCAGGAACCCUCUUCUCUUCACAUCAUCUGUCUGUCUGGGUAGCCUGUUCACUGUUCUUCCAGGGGAGUUCCUAUUAUUUCUGGAGCUUCCUGGCUCUAAGGAAUGCUCAUACUUGGGGGUCAGUUGUAGGCUUUUAGACUAGAAGAGCUUAUUUGUGACUUAUGAUCUCAUGUCUAUCCUGUGCAAACUGACAGUUGCUGAGAAGCCUAGAAGGAUAGAUAUGAUGUCCUUGUCAGGCCAACCAAAGGAUGUCCCCAGGGGACCAGAGCCACUGAAAGUUGUGAAUCACUGCAGCUGGGGGCUACAAGGGCUCUUUAUUGCUCCCAGCAUUCCACCCUGCUUGGAGACUCUGGGACACCUGUCUUUGUCAUCCUCAAAUCCAUGUUCCCUCAGGUAUCCUGGGCCCUGGGGGCAUUGUCAGCUGGAGGGGCUGGGACUCAGCUCCCUGAGGGGCAACAGGGGCCCCCAACUGGAUGCCCAGGGCGGCUGCUGGAGCUUAAGGGUAUGGCAAACUUGGGGAGCAGAGUGGCAGGGAGGGUAGGCUGGAGAGAGUGGAAGCUUUUUAUGCCUCAGUGGUGAAAAGGCAAUCUGCUGACCUGAUCCCCACUGCAGGGAAUAUUCGGGUGCUAUGUCGGCUGAGGCCAGGUACACCCUGCAGCCUGGUGAGUGUGGAGGCUGGACCAGGGGGCACAGUCACCACCUGCUAUCGAGGGCGCCAGCGUCGUUUCCACCUGGACUGGGUCUUCUCUCCAGAUGCCAGCCAGGAGGAGGUGACAGCCACCCUUGCACCUAUUCUGACCCUUCCUCAGAGUCUCCCAGAGUCCAGAAAAGGCUCCUUCCCCUUCCAGUCUGUCCACCUAUAGAAGGGAGGGUGAAUCAGUUUUAGCCUAAAAGGGAAGGGAGCAGCUAGAGGGUUGGGGAGUGGCAGCCCAGCUGGACACUAAGGAAAAUGAAUCUAUCUGAGGUUUACAGUUACUGCUCAUGUAGAACUGGCCACAGAGUACAGCUGGGUGCCACAGUGGUAGGAACAGUGCCAUGACCCACAAGUGAUGCCUCCUCUAAGGCUUCCAUGAGAGAUCAGUGCUCCUCCCUGGGGUCCAGGCUCUUCCCAGCUGGGAUUGCAUUAGCCCUCCUUGCUUUGUGGCCCUAAUGCAGGUUGGGGGCCAUGGGUGAGCAGGCCAGUGUCCAGCCCCAGCACUCCCCGACUCCCUUGCUCAGAUCCCAUUUUUUCUCCUCUUUUUUUUUUUCUGCCAGACACCAGUAGAAAAGCAGGGCUCAAGUCCCAGCCUGCCGUCACCUUUCUAAUACACGGUUUCCAUCUACAUAUAAACUUUGCUCCUGGAGCUUCUAUAACUAAAAUGGAGGCUCAGAGCUGGGAGAGGGUUAGGUAAGGGACAGGGCUGGCAGUGAUGCACACCCAGGUUGCCUGCUGGCCCGACAGGUCAUUGCACUGUGACCAAGAACCUCUCCUGUGUCUCUCAUUUCUGCACCACCACCUGCCGUGCCUCCUUUGCCCAAUCGUGGACUCUUAUCCCCCAUACUGGCAAUUUUAGAUUAUGGCUUCAUGGCCAUUAGCCAAGACUUUAAGCAGAGGUGACAGCCACCCAGUUACCAGCAACCUUCUACAGUGAAAGUUGGUUAUGUCAUUGCCCAAAAGGCCACUCUUUGUUGGUCAUGGUGGUGCACAUCUGUAAUACCAGCUACUCAGGAGGGUGAGGCAGGAGGAUUUUCAAGUUUAAGGUCAACUUGGACAACUUAGUGAGACCUUAUCUCAGAAUGAAAAAUAAUAAGAGCUGAGAUGUAGCUCAGCUCUCAGGUAGAGAAUCCCUGGGUUCAAUCCCCAAUACUACAAAAAUAAAGCAAAAAAUGAAAGCAACUAUUAUGUCUAUCCAUCUGCCCCUCAGUCACCUCUUUGCUCCCCUCAGGGCCAAGGUUCCAGUAGUCCUGGCUGGUUACUACCCUCCAUACCCCCAGAGCCUUUUCUGGUCUCAUCCUUCUCAUCCUUUGUGUGCCAAGUGCUGCUCUGGACUGCCUGGACACUGCCCACUAAGCCUCAAGACAGGUGCCAUAGAGAGGAACAACACAGAAGAGCCACAAAGAAUGAGUAAUUUGCUUCCAGUCACAUCUAGGGUUGGGACCAGGCAGUCAAGCUCCAGCACCUGGACCCUUGACCAGUGCUCCCCAGGACCACCUAAAUGGUCAUCAGGACUCCACAUUAUUUGCACAGGCUGUUCCCUUUUUGUCACGUCUCUUUCCUUCUUUGCCUCACCCAUUAUUGCAAAUACCACCUUUUCUAGGGAGGCAGAAGGUAUCUUCUGGGCAGCCCCCUGUGCUCCCCUGGAGGCGUUUCCCUAGCAAAUUGUGUUCUACACAAACUUUUUUCACUGUGCUUUCCACCUUUCAAGGUCCUAAACAGAGACCUUGGAAAGGGCUCAAGACACUUUUUCCACCUCUCCUUCAUUCAGGUCUUUGGAGAGCUGGAACCAGCUGUGCUGUCCUGCCUCCAAGGAUACAGUGUCUGCAUCUUCACCUAUGGCCAGACCGGGACUGGAAAGACAUACAGCAUGGAGGUGGGGUGGAGCUCACACGGGGGGGGGGGGGAGGCCUCAGAGGCUUGAAUGUGAGCCCAAUGGGGUAUUCCACACCACCUUCAGGGCCCACCUGAGGACCCAGGCAUAGCUCCCAGGGCGCUGCAGUCACUGUUCAGGGAAAUGGGGACUGGAGGGCAGCACCGUGUGACCCUCAGCAUGGUGGAGAUCUACAAUGAGGCAGUCAGGUCAGGGCUGUGCUGUAGGGGUGGUGGGCUACUAUUUGCCCUGGCCCAAGACUCCUGCUACCCUUAGAAUCCUGGAACCAAACUCUCCUGGUCUCCCCAGGGACCUCCUGGCCCCAGGACCUCCAGAGCGCCUAGCUGUGAGGCAGGGCCCAGCAGGACAGGGGGGAAUCCAAGUAGCUGGCCUCACCCACUGGGACGUGCCCAACCUGGAGACUUUGCACCAGGUAAAGAUGCCCUCUAAGGCCUCUCCUCUUGCUCCCAUCUGGGAUUGGGGACUGUGUACCAGCCGCGGCCUCAUCGCUCCUAACAGAUGUUGAGCCUGGGGAGAAGUAACCGGGCCACUGCCGCCACUUCCAUGAACCCACGCAGCUCCCGAUCCCAUGCUCUCGUUACACUGACGCUGUGUGCAGCUUCUCCACCGAGCGCCCCAGGCACUGCAGGUAGCAAACACUGCAAUGCCUGAGCUUUUGCAGGGUUUCCAGUGUGCCUGAAGCCUGGCCUCCCUUCAUGUAGGGCUUGCUCACCUUUGCAGGCACGCUGCACCUGGUGGACCUGGCGGGAUCUGAGCGUGCUUGGAAGGCGGGAGCUACUGGCACGCAGCGAGGAGAUCCCAACAGUGCCCAGCGUCUGCGGGAGGCCCAGACUAUCAACCGCUCGCUGCUGGCGCUGGGAGGCGUGAUGGCUGCGUUGCGUGCCCGCCGGUCCCACGUGCCCUUCCGCGACUCGCAGCUCACACGUCUGUUGCAGCCUGCGCUUGGUCCGGGUACCACUGCUGUGCUGCUUCUACAGGUGUGCGCCCCGGCAGCAGCGGGUGGAGUGCAGGAGGGUCCUUUGUGUGUGAAGCACCGCAGGCUGGCCCACAAGCACUUUUCCUCCUCAGAUCUCUACGCGGCCAGAGGAUCUCGGGGAGACCGUCUGUUCGCUCAAGUUUGCGGAGCGAGUGGGUCAGGUGGAGCUGGGACCAGCACGGCGCCGCAAGGCACCACGCUCCGAGACCCCAUCCUCCCUCAGUACCGACACCCCACUUACUGGGACCCCCUGCACUCCUACGAGGUCUCCUGUCAGCCCUCCAAGCCCCAGCCCUGACAGCGGCUCAUGCUCUGCCCUAGGGCCCUCAGGGGACCUUCCCCCCUAGUCUUGGGUGGAGGCCCUGCACAAGAGACCUGGGGAUAUAACUCUGCUGGCAGAGGCAGCAGUACAGUUCUUAUAUCGGGUCUCCCAAGACAAUCUUCUUGACUUCUGGGGGCCUACUUCUCUCCAAACUUCCAGAGUUGCUCCCCACAACCCCAGCCAGAGAAGAGCCUGGAGAAUUGAUUUUGCCCCACCCCACUGAGUCAGAGGCCCUCAGCUCCCUCCUUAUCACCAUUUGCCGUUAUCACAGCACACAGCAGGGGAUCCCAGAGCCACAGGAACCAGACAUGACUCUGGCCAAGGAGUUUCCCAGGUCACCACCUCUGCUCCAAAAAUAAGACUAGGCAUUAAAAUGCUGUAAAUUCUUUUAAUGUUACACCACUACCACCACUUCAAGUCUAUGUAGGGUCCAGUUUUUAUUCCCUAACCCUUUCCCCAAAAGGUGCUACCUCCUCAGACAGUUGAGGGAUGGCAGGACUUCAGGCUGGACCCACCAUUAAGGAGCUCCCUCCCCCAGCCUGGAGCCAGGAGGGAGGUGACAGAUGGUGAUGGAUGAAUAGAUAGAUGGGCUAGGCCUGAAGAUAGAAUCAUGAUUUGCUACUCCAGGUUGAGUCCUGCUCCUUUAGCAUUGCCCCUGGGUGUAGGGGGAGGCAGAGAGGCAAGACUGACCAAGCCCAGGUUGGUGCCCAGCUGAGUGGCAGCUUUUUCUGGAGCAGCCCAAUAAACAUUGUGGACUCUCAUUAAGCAAGGCUGGAGCCUAUUGGGGCUACAGACAUCUUCCUACCUUGGUUCCCCAUCAAGGAGAUGGGGAGAGAAGCAACCCCUGCUCUAGAAAGCUUCAGAGGCUGUACCAGGAAAGCAGCCAGCCUGGAGCAGGGGCAGCCAUGUCACGAGGGUGGCUGACCCACACAUCAUAGAUGCUCUUGUUGGGUGGUACUCCCUGGAAGAGAGUGUCUAGAUCCCAGAGCAGCCUUGGGGACCCUUGGGAUUCAGAGGCCACCCCCCAGUAGGCUGGGCUGGUUGAAGGUGGACACUGGGGACAGGAAGUGGAUGGUAGUGGGGCUAAAGGCAUUACCACAUUGGGUGUGUAGAUGGGCAAGUAGGAGGUGGGCAACUGUCCCCACAGGGAGGCCCUGCAUCCCCCACUGGACAGUACCCC
rnacentral:lncRNA from 1 species